GGACUGGGUCUUCUUGGAGUCGGGUUGCUUGGGAAUGCAGCCCAAAGCUGGUGGUAAACUCCAUCUAAGGCUAAAUACUGGCACGAGACCGAUAGUCAACAAGUACCGUAAGGGAAAGUUGAAAAGAACUCUGAAGAGAGAGUUCAAGAGGGCGUGAAACCGUUAAGAGGUAAAAGGGUGGGGCCGG